CAACAUGACAGAACUAAUAUCAAAUAUAUUGGCCUUUUCAUUUCAGCAAAUAUAAAUGGACUUAACUUAGUUUUGUUACAAAAAAAAAAAGGGAUUUUCAGUUAACAAAGUAAAAUUCAAAUCUAAGUGUUUAUAUGAGAUAGAAAAGGAGAGAGAGACUGAAGGUUAGAAAUCAAGGGACUGCCAGAGACAUGGUGGGACAAAUGGAAACAAAACUUCAGAUUAACUUACUUGAAAUGUCCCAGUCUACCAGGGCUCGUCUUUCUAACACUUCAGAGAUCUCUGUGCUCCCCUGUGGCUCUGUAUGACUCUUCUUCACAUCCCUUUAGCUUGUGCAAUGAGCAAGCUUUAUAAUGGCAUUUCCAGCUGAGAUCCUGAGAUGAUUUUUAAAGCUGCUGGGAUGUGGCUGGCUGUUUGUGCUUCAGAACUGCCAAAGCAUGUGUAUGAGUUAUUUCUAAGGGACAGAAUAGGAAUGGAGAAUUAAGUGUGCACAUUCUCCAAAACAAUGGAAAAGUCCACACACAGACAACAAGGAAUGAGCAUGUGAGUGUGCUUAUACAUGUAUGUGUAUAAGUGGAUGGGUGUGGGUAUGUGUAUGUUUCUGUGUCUGCACGUGCAUGUACAUACAUGGUGUUCAUGUAUAAGCGUAAAUGUGUGUGUGCAUUUUUGCAUCCACACAUGGGAUUCAGUGUUCCUGUUUAUAUCCUAGGGAAAUUCUGGAGCAGAGCGCUGGGGGAAAUUAGAAGUCUUUGUGGUGGAAGGCCUGGCCCCUGGAUGAGUGCACUGCCAAGCAUAUAUGAUGAUAUGUCCACCAUUGUGAAGAAGAAAUAUCCUCUUGCCAACACUGAUGACUAUAUGGGAUAGUUGGAUAGCAGUAGAGAGAAGUGGCUGAGAUUCUACUUGUUUCUGUAAGGAGAUAUACCUGAGUCCUGGACUCAUAGCUCACUGGGUUUGUGAUCCUGUCUCAUCAUCUAUGGCUUAUCAAGUAUGCCUACCUUAUGUGGUCUUUGUGAGAACUAAUUGAAAGUGCAGUUGAUAAUACAUAAAAAACACAACAUUGUUGUGAUAUUGUGAUUUGGUUUUCAUCCCCAUUUCUGGCCCAGAGCUCCUAAAAGCCUUGGAAUUCCUAAAUGAUGAGUGUGAUAAGCAUGUCUUGAUAUUCAUAACAAACACUUUUCAACCUCACCUGAAUUUAUGUUAACGAGGUGAUUUUUUUUGGAAAGCCCCUUGAUAACCACAGGAUGGGGGCUGGUUGCUGGGGAAGUAAACCAAG
rnacentral:lncRNA from 12 species